AGUGAACGCUGGCGGUAGGCCUAACACAUGCAAGUCGAACGGCAGCACAGUAAGAGCUUGCUCUUACGGGUGGCGAGUGGCGGACGGGUGAGGAAUACAUCGGAAUCUACUUUUUCUUGGGGGAUAACGUAGGGAAACUUACGCUAAUACCUCAUACGACCUACGGGUGAAAGCAGUGGAUCUUCGGACCUUGCGCGAUUGAAUUAGCCGAUGUCGCAUUAGCUAGUUGGCUGGGUAAAGGCCCACCAAGGCGACGAUCCGUAGCUGGUCUGAGAGGAUGAUCAGCCACACUGGAACUGAGACACGGUCCAGACUCCUACGGGAGGCAGCAGUGGGGAAUAUUGGACAAUGGGCGAAAGCCUGAUCCAGCCAUACCGCGUGGGUGAAGAAGGCCUUCGGGUUGUAAAGCCCUUUUGUUGGGAAAGAAAAGAAGCAGGUUAAUCCACCGCUGUUCUGACGGUACCCAAAGAAUAAGCCACGGCUAACUUCGUG
rnacentral:rRNA from 1 species